AACGAACGCUGGCGGCAUGCCUAACACAUGCAAGUCGAACGAGACCUUCGGGUCUAGUGGCGCACGGGUGCGUAACGCGUGGGAACCUGCCCUUAGGUUCGGAAUAACUCCCCGAAAGGGGUGCUAAUACCGGAUAAUGUCUUCGGACCAAAGAUUUAUCGCCUUUGGAUGGGCCCGCGUUGGAUUAGCUAGUUGGUAGGGUAAAAGCCUACCAAGGCGACGAUCCAUAGCUGGUCUGAGAGGAUGAUCAGCCACACUGGGAAUGAGACACGGCCCAGACUCCUACGGGAGGCAGCAGUGGGGAAUAUUGGACAAGGGGCGAAAGACUGAUCCAGCAAUGCGGCGUGAGUGAUGAAGGCCUUAGGGUUGUAAAGCUCUUUUACCCGGGAUGAUAAUGACAGUACCGGGAGAAUAAGCUCCGGCUAACUCCGUG
rnacentral:rRNA from 1 species